GACAAAAAAGCUCAAGGCAGGAACAGCAGCCCAGGGACCUGAGACCAGCGUUCUCAAAUGAAGGUGCCAGAUCUGCUGUUAGAGGAGAAUUCUUCUGUCCUAGCUGUGUCUCUGUGAUCUGUGGAUGAGGGUGGGAAAGCACCACUCAGUCAAUUGGGGUGUACAAAAUGGAGUUUGAGAAGGUCUCACAUCCAGGUUGUUUUGAAGCAAAGUCCAAGCAUUGUAUCACUUCAUCUGCAAAUAUUUCAAUAAGUACCCAAAAGUGGUUGGACUGAGUCCCAUGAAGCCAGAUCACUUCUGACUGCAAGGAGCUUGGAAAAGCAAGUAUCUGGAUCUUUUACCAGCUAAAUUUGGAGCGAUGAGGCUUCCUCUUUGAAGAUCACAGGUGAGAAGAUUAGGUGCUUUCUCAGAAGCCCAGCAACCUGAUGGGAGUGUGGAGUGAGCAAGACCCAAAUCGGAGCUUCAUCCCUGCAUGGUUCAUUUUGCUUAUUUGGCAAACUUGCCCUGCAGAAUCUACUCAAGCUUCCUCAGUUUCUCAAAUCAUUCUUGGGCAACAAAUGAACAAGAAAGAGGACGUCUUAUUAUCUGGUGUCUGGCUUGCUGAUUUAAUAACCUAGGAGACAGUGUUUGAAGAACACAAACUCUAAAGUCCUUCACUUAAAAAAAAAA
rnacentral:lncRNA from 10 species